rnacentral:misc_RNA from 1 species
GAUGAAGAACGUAGCGAAAUGCGAUACUUGGUGUGAAUUGCAGAAUCCCGUGAACCAUCGAGUCUUUGAACGCAAGUUGCGCCCGAAGCCAUUAGGCCGAGGGCACGCCUGCCUGGGCGUCACACGUCGUUGCCCCCCCAUCUACUCCUUCGGGAUUGCGGGGGGCGGAUGAUGGCCUCCCGUGCGCCUCGUCGCGCGGUUGGCAUAAAUGCCAAGUCCUCGGCGACGCACGCCACGACAAUCGGUGGUUGCGAAACCGCGGUUGCCCGUCGUGUGCGGUCGUCGCGCAUCGAGGGCUCGAAAAAAUUGCCGGGCUCCGGCUCGGCUUUCAACGCGACCCCAGGUCAGGCGGGGUUACCCGCUGAAUUUAAGCAUAUCAAUAAGCGGAGGA